UACGGGGGGGGCAAGCGUUGUUCGGAAUUACUGGGCGUAAAGGGCUCGUAGGCGGCCAACUAAGUCGGAUGUGAAAUCCCCGGGCUCAACCCGGGAACUGCGUCCGAUACUGGCAGGCUUGAAUCCGGGAGAGGGAUGUGGAAUUCCAGGUGUAGCGGUGAAAUGCGUAGAUAUCUGGAGGAACACCGGUGGCGAAGGCGGCAUCCUGGACCGGUAUUGACGCUGAUGCGCGAAAGCCAGGGGAGCAAACGGG
rnacentral:rRNA from 1 species